CAAGGGGGCUGAGUUGGAAAGGGACUGAGGGGCGGGGCUUACUGUGGGCCGGGCCCGGGUGGAAGGCCGAGCGCAAACUGUAUACAAGGGUCACACGUGUUGGGGGGGGGGGAGGUGUGUGCGUGCGUGUGUGAGUGUGUGUGUGUGUGCGCGCUCGCUCGCUUUAUAGGUGCUUGUAGUGAAGAUCCAAAAGGUGAAGCAGAUACUCUAGAGCAGUGAUUGCGAACCUUUUAGAGCUUUCAAUGAUAAACAGCCGGCAGCGCCGCGCGUGCACUGCCCUAGAGAAUGAGAUUAUCUCAGGGAGCAAAGUUUAAAAACAACAUAACAUUAUACCUGAGUAAAGCUGUUAGGGCAGAGGGGGUCAGUAAGCAAAUCAAGUUAAACAAGGGAAUUCAGGAUUCCAAACAAGAUCUCAUCUAUCUUCCCAGCACAGUCUGAGAGAUGAGAAGAAUCCAGAUGAUUUCUUCCAAGAAGCAAAAGUCAAACAGGGAUCAAACUCAGGACCUUUUACUUGUGAAGCAGGCAUGGAGCCACUGAGCUGUAUCCCCGGCCCAACUUUAACAGAAUUUAUUGGUGAAUAUUUCUAAACUUAACAUAUAAUAAAUGCCAUCUUUUAAAUUUU